AUCACGUUAAAUGCAUUUAUGGUGAAAUUCAUUAUGAGGGGUGGUGGUCAACUUAAAAAGAAGCCAUUCAAAGCUAUACUAUGUAAUUCAAGUGGACUUCUCUGUAAGAACAUCAGACUCUUCAUAGAAGAUGAAGACUUGCCAUGAUCAAGAAUACCAGCUAUUUGCUGAAGUUCAUCUUUCAAAACGAACAGCAUGGAGUACAGUACUCAUCAGAUGCUGUGAACAGGUGUAGCCCAAAUGCAACAGAUUCAGACUUUGAUGCAGCAAUGGCAGAUCACCUGAAGCACACUGGGGUUGAUUUUGUUUUAACAGUAAUACAAGACUGUUAGGAAAUAAUUUGGUAGUGCCAUAGCUCUGACUUUUAACCAUUAAUGGUGGAACACAUGAAUCACACUCCCGGAAGAGCCGGUGGUCGGGGACCAAGAAAAUGAGUUAACAUUUUGAAAAAAAUGGGCUAAAGUAGUGUCAUAUGUUUUUGUAAUACUGUACUUUUGUCAUUUUCAUGUUUGAUUAAUGGCUGCUAAACAUCAAUGUUAAACUCCAUUGCUUUCGAGAUUCUACUAUUUUUAUUUUCUUGUUUGAAUAGUAGCUGUCAAACAAAUGGAAGACCAUUCAAAAAUGUGAUGUUCAC